AUUGAACGCUGGCGGCAGGCCUAACACAUGCAAGUCGAGCGGUAGAGAGAAGCUUGCUUCUCUUGAGAGCGGCGGACGGGUGAGUAAUGCCUAGGAAUCUGCCUGAUAGUGGGGGAUAACGUCUGGAAACGGACGCUAAUACCGCAUACGUCCUACGGGAGAAAGUGGGGGCUCUUCGGACUCCACGCUAUCCGUUGAGCCUAGGUCGGAUUAGCUAGUUGGCGGGGUAAAGGCUCACCAAGGCGACGAUCCGUAACUGGUCUGAGAGGAUGAUCAGUCACACUGGAACUGAGACACGGUCCAGACUCCUACGGGAGGCAGCAGUGGGGAAUAUUGGACAAUGGGCGAAAGCCUGAUCCAGCCAUGCCGCGUGUGUGAAGAAGGUCUUCGGAUUGUAAAGCACUUUAAGUUGGGAGGAAGGGUCGUUACCUAAUACGUGACGAUUUUGACGUUACCGACAGAAUAAGCACCGGCUAACUCUGUGCCAGCAGCCGCCGUAAUAC
rnacentral:rRNA from 1 species